rnacentral:tRNA from 1 species
GCCCGGUUAGCUCAGUCGGUAGAGCGUGCGGCUUUUACCGCCUUAUUCCGCCGGUACCGCAAUGUCGGGGGUUCGAGCCCCCCAUCGGGCG